rnacentral:rRNA from 1 species
UACGUAGGGAGCAAGCGUUGUCCGGAAUCAUUGGGCGUAAAGCGCGCGUAGGCGGCCCCGUAAGUCCGCUGUGAAAGUCAAAGGCUCAACCUCGAGACGCCGAUGGAAACCCUCCAGCUAGAGUCCGGAAGAGGAGAGUGGAAUUCCUGGUGUAGCGGUGAAAUGCGCAGAUAUCAGGAAGAACACCCGUGGCUAAGGCGGCUCUCUAGUACGGUACUGACGCUGAGACGCGAAAGCGUGGGGAGCGAACAGG